UUUCUUAAAUUCAAGUGGUAUUAUCAUGAUCACAAGAUUGAUUCAAGUAUUUGUUCAAAAUUUUCAACAAUAAUGGCAAGCUUACAUAAAGAUUCAAAAGCAUCCCAGUUUCCAAUAUCUAAGUUGAAACAUAUUUCAUCGUCAUUCAAAAAUCAAGCUUUGAAGUUUAAUUACAAGACCAAAGCCAAUAUCACAAGAGCUUUCAAAUUCCUAGCCUUUAGAAUACAAAACAUUUUCCUAAUGCCUAAGCUUUUGCAAUAUAUAAAGGAUCCUAAUCUAAGUCCUAAGAUCGUUAAUGAGGUCUUCAUCUUCACUUCUCCAAGUUCCAUUUAA